AGAGUUUGAUCCUGGCUCAGGAUGAACGCUGGGGCUGCUUAACACAUGCAAGUCGAACGAAUCCCUUCGGGGAUUAGUGGCGGACGGGUGAGUAACGCGUGAGAAUCUGCCAAAAGGACUGGGACAACCCACUGGAAACGGUGGCUAAUACCGGAUGAGCCGCAACGUAAAAGAGGAAACUCGCCUUUUGAGGAGCUCGCGUCUGAUUAGCUAGUUGGUGAGGUAAAGGCUCACCAAGGCGGCGAUCAGUAGCUGGUCUGAGAGGAUGAUCAGCCACACUGGGACUGAGACACGGCCCAGACUCCUACGGGAGGCAGCAGUGGGGAAUUUUCCGCAAUGGGCGAAAGCCUGACGGAGCAAGACCGCGUGAGGGAGGAAGGCUCUUGGGUUGUAAACCUCUUUUGUCAGGGAAGAACACAAUGACGGUACCUGAAGAAUCAGCAUCGGCUAACUCCGUGCCAGCAGCCGCGGUAAUACGGAGGAUGCAAGCGUUAUCCGGAAUUAUUGGGCGUAAAGCGUCCGCAGGUGGCACUUCAAGUCUGCUGUCAAAGACCGGGGCUUAACCCUGGAAAGGCAGUGGAAACUGAAGCGCUAGAGUGUGGCAGGGGUAGAGGGAAUUCCCGGUGUAGCGGUGAAAUGCGUAGAGAUCGGGAAGAACAUCGGUGGCGAAAGCGCUCUACUGGGCCACAACUGACACUCAGGGACGAAAGCUAGGGGAGCGAAUGGGAUUAGAUACCCUAGUAGUCC
rnacentral:rRNA from 1 species